UUUUUUUUUACGUAGAAACCAUUCUUAGCUUGCAAGCUGUACAAAAACAGAUGCCGGGCUAGAUUUUAGUCCAUGGGCUAUAGUUUGCCAACUCUUGCUGUAUAACCACUUUUGUAAAUUAAGUCAGCUUUGAGAGUCUUAGCAUGAGUUUACGUCAUGUGAUGCCCAUUCCCAAAGUUAAAAUGUUUAACUGAAAAUACUUACAUUUAAGUCAUUGGUGGGUAGAUUAAUAAUGCCGGCAACUCAGAAAUAUUAAGCAAAACUGUUCACAAGAACAAAAACACUCCCACUCCCCGUGCUGUAUUUUUUCACGAAAUAAAAAGAAGACUUUGUUUUGUUGGUUUGAGGGCCAAACAUUCCUGAAGUGACACGUAAAAGCCACUUGGCAAAGAAAAACAUUAUUAACAAGUAGAUGUGAAAUUUUGGAGUUGUGAUAAAGAGUGGUCUUCUAUAAUUUUCUCGCUUCGAGUUUUUUGGAAUCUAGCAGCAGUCUUCAGAAGGAAGGCACAAGAUCACAUUCAUUUCUAAUUUACACUGAAAAGAAGCCACACGGAAUUGGUUCAUUGAACCUGUUCCUCAAGAGACCUAGUGUCUGCUCAGCAGCUAUUGUGACCUCAGCCAGCCGUGCUGCCUGCUCUUUAGCCACGCUAGCGAUGAAAAUGGACAUUACACCCCUGAGGCCCUCCACCUUCCAUCUCAGAGUUGUAGAAGAACCUGCAACAGCGAUUGUCAGCUUGAGGGCUGAAUACUCAAGAAUGUUCAUGGAAGAAGUAUUGCAGAUAGAAGAAUGGAGAUGCCCACCAACGCACACAUGACCUUCAGCAAGCAAGUGCUGCCCUGGCCAGUGUCCUGGAUGUCAAAGACGAAAAUAGUAAAUUAUCUGUAACCUGAGUUUCCUUAUCAAUAUUUUAGCAGAUUCUUAACAGCCUGAAAACCUAUACUUCUAGUGGUGUUUCUGGCUUUCUUUACUCUGGGCUUCAUCCAUAUUCAUUCUUCUUAAC
rnacentral:lncRNA from 1 species